rnacentral:rRNA from 1 species
UACGGAGGGUGCAAGCGUUAUCCGGAUUCACUGGGUUUAAAGGGUGCGUAGGUGGGCAGGUAAGUCAGUGGUGAAAUCUCCGGGCUUAACCCGGAAACUGCCGUUGAUACUAUCUGUCUUGAAUAUAGUGGAGGUGAGCGGAAUAUGUCAUGUAGCGGUGAAAUGCUCAGAUAUGACAUAGAACACCCAUUGCGAAGGCAGCUCGCUACACUAUCAUUGACACUGAGGCACGAAAGCGUGGGGAUCAAACAGG